rnacentral:rRNA from 1 species
AGAUGGCGACCGGCGCACGGGUGAGUAACACGUAUCCAACCUGCCGAUAACUCGGGGAUAGCCUUUCGAAAGAAAGAUUAAUACCCGAUGGCAUAAUUAGACCGCAUGGUCUUAUUAUUAAAGAAUUUCGGUUAUCGAUGGGGAUGCGUUCCAUUAGGCAGUUGGUGAGGUAACGGCUCACCAAACCUUCGAUGGAUAGGGGUUCUGAGAGGAAGGUCCCCCACAUUGGGACUGAGACACGGUCCAA